GCCGAUUUGAAUCUUUCGGGGAACAAUUAUUAAACAGGAGUUGACUCAUGUUUUGUUUGGGACUUCCACGUUGAGUCAUGGAGGAGUCUUCAGUGACAAUUGGCACAAUAGACGUUUCUUAUCUGCCCAAUUCAUCAGAAUACAGCCUUGGCCGAUGUAAACACACGAAUGAGGACUGGGUUGACUGUGGCUUCAAACCUACCUUCUUCAGAUCCGCAACGCUGAAAUGGAAGGAGAGCCUCAUGAGCCGGAAGAGGCCCUUCGUGGGAAGGUGUUGCUAUUCAUGCACGCCUCAGAGCUGGGAAAGGUUUUUCAACCCCAGUAUCCCAUCUCUGGGUUUGCGGAAUGUUAUUUAUAUCAAUGAAACUCACACAAGGCACCGAGGAUGGCUGGCAAGACGGCUUUCUUACAUCCUUUUUGUUCAAGAGCGCGAUGUCCACAAGGGCAUGUUUGCCACCAGUAUCACUGACAAUGUACUGAAUAGCAGCAGAGUCCAAGAGGCAAUUGCUGAAGUGGCUGCAGAAUUGAACCCGGAUGGAUCUGCCCAGCAGCAGUCCAAAG
rnacentral:lncRNA from 1 species